GCAACCUGGUUGAUCCUGCCAGUAGUCAUAUGCUUGUUUCAAGGAUUAAGCCAUGCAAGUCUCAGAGUAAAUGGAUUGACAGUGGAUCUGCAGACGGCUCAUUAAAUCAGCUGCAAUCUGCGCCGGGAAGGAGCUAGAAGGCACCCAUUUGGAUAACAAGCGUAACUCGCUUGCUAAUACAUGUCCGAAAAUUC
rnacentral:rRNA from 1 species